AGUCCCUAUUCCCGCCCUGAAGGUGGCCAAAAGGCUGACUCCCUCCAAGCAGCCCGCCCGCGCCUCCAUCGCCCCCACCCACGUCCCACUCGCCAGCUGCGGACUGAACCCUCACCCUCAAGGGGGUGUAGGUAGGGAAAGAGUUUUGAGCAAGAUUGGGGGUAUCCCUUCAUCCGAAGAUUGUUUGGGAAAGGUUAGGAGCUCUAAAAUGUAUUGAAGCCAACUCUUAAGCGCAAAGUAAAAGAUAAUUUGCGUCCGUCUGCGAGCCUCAGGGGUUCUUCGGCAAAGAGGUAACGGGGCUUGGAUUUACCACAACUCUGCGGCCACGUUUUCAAAUUUGGAAAAGGUCAGUAUAUAUAUAUAUAUAUAUAUUUGACAACAGGAUUUAUUUUGUAUUGUUGCUUUCCGGUAAUCUUUUUCUUUUGUUUUCUAGCACAGAUGAGAAAAGAAGGUUCAGGUAAGUCACCCUUUGCAAACAUAACCAAAAUCUUCAAAGCAGGAGGAAGACUAGACGA
rnacentral:lncRNA from 1 species